AUAUAUGAAGCCUGUGCUGCCUCUGCGAACUGAGAGAGAGCAGUUCUUCUCGAUGGAACAAGAGACAAAUGGUUCGCAGAGGCUGUUCCACUGAUUUGAUAGCUCGGAUAGUAAGCUUGGGAUGUAUUGGGAUCUCUCAUAUUACAAGAUGCCAUCGUAUGUCCCUGAGGACUCCAGCUUGGAUGUGCUGAUCUCAGUUUUGUGGAUGCAAUGGUUUACCAUGGAGCUCUUGGUAUGCUUCAUGCAGCAGUUUUCGCUGGCGAUUACGAUCAUGACCAGUUCUUCCGGCCGUUCCACACUGACGCGUGCAUGAUAACAAGUUCUCAGAAUCUGCUUGUAGUCUUGUACUACUGACGUAGGACUAGAGUCAAUUAGGCCCCACUCCUGCAUGUGUAAAACAGUCACCAACAUCUACCAAUUCACCGGUG
rnacentral:lncRNA from 1 species